AUUUUCUGACAUUUGAAAAGAGCUGAAGAUACGCCCCUUGGAUGCCUGCAGAGCAGCUCUGGGGCUUCAGCUGAUGACUCAGGGUAGCCACUGAAUAUGGUGCUCAUAGAGGGUGCCACCUGGACUCCACUCUCCUUUCUCUCUGGGAUCAUAGCUUCCAAGGUGUUCUGUGGCCUGUCGGCCAAUUCCAGCAGCUCAGCAUGCAGAAGACCGAGGAGCCAUUGGAAUUCAACACAACAUGAAAUAAUCGACAAAUUCGGGAAAUGGUAAUCUGACCAUCCCCAGUUACAAAUGAUGUUUCAUGCUACCUUCUAUUCCUGCCCUCAUAAAUCAAGUUCUAAAUCUUCAGGAAAAAAUGCACUCAGGAUCGCCAGAGAAAUGUCCUUCCAACCGUGCAUGGAAAGGUAGGAUUUUUUUGCAGCGGGUAAGGGGCUGGCUAGAGUUAAGUGUGUGCUGAGCUUUUGUGUUUGAAAGUGAGCCUGUGCGCUUCUAACGGACUGAAAGGUUUCCUUGCCUUCUCCGAUCUUACAGCAAGGACAGCAAAGCCUUCCAGGCCUGCCUGUGACAUGCUCUGCACAUUCUAAAGAUGCCUGUGCAAUGGAAAACACCACUGUCUGCUCCAGCACAGCUGCCAUCCUUCCAUCUUAUCGACCUUAAUGCAACAACUCCUCAUGGGCAGAGAUCUUAAAAUGUGUUCUUGCCAGAAGAGAGACUCAAAGAUGGGACAAACGGAUCCUUUAAAUGCC